GACUCCUUGGCGCAACGGUAGCGCGUUCGUCUCCAAAGCGAAAGGUUGCGCGUUCAAAUCGCGCAGGGGUCA
rfam:Rhizoclosmatium globosum strain JEL800 BCR33scaffold_33, whole genome shotgun sequence.